UGGGUGUUGCCGACACCGAGAAGCCAGCAGGUGCUGUGCUGGCUGGUGACAGCAAGCCAGGCAUCAAAACCUUCCAGCAAUCUCCGGUGACUGUAAUGAAGACAAGGGGUGGGAGGUGGACUCUGAGACCAUGAAGUUCACGGCCGGAAGAGUUUACAGCAACAACGACAGAGAAAGAAGCAGUCGUAGUGAGGGGACCAAGGAGGAACCCACCCCACAGCCACACCCACCAUCCAGAGGAAAAACUCACCAAGUGAACCCCCUACGAUCUGCUUGACUCAUCCACUGGAUAACAUCACAUCUACAAAACAGAAGGAUGCGCCACGAGCUAAGCCAACCGGAGAAGUUUUAUUGGCAGAAUGGCUGAAGAAAUCUGAAACAGAAAACCAAAACUGUGGAGAGCUGAUGCAGGUGGACUUCCCUGUCAUGCUGACUUGGACAUAUCAAGCCCCUUUAGAAACGUAUCCCAAAUCUCCUAUCUCCACCUUGAUGUGCACAGCACCUGUCCAAGCCACCAUCAGC